rnacentral:rRNA from 1 species
GGCGGCGUGCCUAAUACAUGCAAGUCGAGCGCAGGAAGUCAUCCGAACCCUUCGGGGGGACGUUGACGGAAUGAGCGGCGGACGGGUGAGUAACACGUAAAGAACCUGCCCUCAGGUCUGGGAUAACCACGAGAAAUCGGGGCUAAUACCGGAUGGGUCAUCGGACCGCAUGGUCCGAGGAUGAAAGGCGCUUCGGCGUCGCCUGGGGAUGGCUUUGCGGUGCAUUAGCUAGUUGGUGGGGUAACGGCCCACCAAGGCGACGAUGCAUAGCCGACCUGAGAGGGUGAUCGGCCACACUGGGACUGAGACACGGCCCAGACUCCUACGGGAGGCAGCAGUAGGGAAUCUUCCACAAUGGACGAAAGUCUGAUGGAGCAAACGCCGCGUGAAACGAUGAAAGGGCCCUUUCGGGUUCGUAAAAGUUUCUGUUGUAAAGGGAAGA